UUGCCUGAUGAACAAAUAAUUUUCGCUGUGUUCUUUCUGAAUCACAUUGAAGAUACACAAUUAUAUUCACCUUGGAGAACUGAUCU
rnacentral:snoRNA from 1 species